AUUCACCUAGCCUCUAGAACAGAAGAACCCCCAAAUCUCCCAGACCUAAGCCUCCGCCGCCGCCGCCGAGGCUGACCACCCUAGUCACCGGCUCACCGCGGUGCCGCCUUCCUCCCCGACCACCGUCCGCCGCCCUUCACCGCAGCAGCAUCUUCGUCCCUGACCAGGCGGCCAAGCGCACCACCGUCUUCGAGCACGAACCUCCGUCGCAGAGCAUCCUUCGCCGGUUCCUCCCCGACCCCCUAGCUCUGGCCGCCGACUCUAAGCCCCCUCCCCAAGCUCCCCGACCAACACCAUGGCUGAGCACACCCCGCCCCGCCGACCACCCUCCCCUGUGCCUGUGUGUCCCCAAGCAGCGCCGCCUCCCCACGCGGGGUUCUCCCGCGACCUAGAUCUACCGCCGUCCUCCACCAUCCCUCUUCCUCAGGCAGCCGCUUCAACCUCCUAGAGCUCGCCCCCCUGGAAGCACCUUCUCCACGAUGCUCCCCUACACACUAGGAUUGCCCGAGACAUUUAAUCUUCAUUCGGGGAGGAGCACACACCUUUUGCUUCAUGUAUUGAAGACUGAUGUUGAAUUUGUUUAUUUGUCAAAGGCCACUAGCAAGAUAAUAUAUGUUUUGGUGAAGCCAGAAGGGGAAGAGGAGUAGGCUGUGAGCAAAGCUGGGUCAAAGAUGAUUGGGGGAAGGUUGAUGUUGAGCAAAAAAAUCAUAUGUGGACAACCUUAAAGUUUUUUGAAACAUACAUGUACAAUAAGAGUGAUGCCCCUUCAAGCAAGGCUGCAACCAAAAAUAUCUGUUUCUCAAAGAUGCACGAGUUGAUUGAGGUCUGGAAGAUCUGCAAGUUGCUGAAGUGAUGAUAUAUAUGUGUUGUUAGUUGAACUUGGGAGACAUUGGCAAGUUUCAUUCUGUCCAUUUUGGUGGUUUAUUUUGGCACAUUUAGCCACAGUAUACUCAUUUUGGUGUGGCGCAAUUUAUUUACGUAGAAAGAUAUGUACUGUGCCUUCUGUGGUACAAUGUCCUUAAUAUAUGAUCGUUUCAUGCAUGUACCUUGAAACAUAUGUAACCUACAUGUUAUGUAAUUUCGAGAGAAGCCCUACAUGCAA